UACGGGGGGGGCAAGCGUUGUUCGGAAUUACUGGGCGUAAAGGGCUCGUAGGCGGCCAACUAAGUCAGACGUGAAAUCCCUCAGCUUAACUGGGGAACUGCGUCUGAUACUGGAUGGCUUGGAUUUGGGAGAGGGAUGCGGAAUUCCAGGUGUAGCGGUGAAAUGCGUAGAUAUCUGGAGGAACACCGGUGGCGAAGGCGGCAUCCUGGACCAAUACUGACGCUGAGGAGCGAAAGCGUGGGGAGCGAACAGG
rnacentral:rRNA from 1 species